CUUGAAAAAGACUCACGACUCCAGACUUUCAGAAAUAAAACAGCUGAAAACGACGCUUGAUGAGAAAUCUGCAGAACUAAACAGAGCUCUGUCCGCACAGAAUAGUGACUCCAAAUGUAAUUCAAAUGAGGAACUCCUGAGUGAUCUGACUAAACGUCUCUUCGCCUGCAAUGAAUCGUUUUUCAACAUAACCAAAGAGAGAGACCAGCUGAUUGAGUAUCUUAAAGUGAGAGUCGGUGAAGGAUGGUCUGUGCAGAAUAACUCCAUGUUUAAUAUGACAGAAGAAAAUCACC